rnacentral:miRNA from 1 species
AGUCUGGCUUCAGCACCAUUGCUCAGUACUUGGAGAGAUGGUAGACCAUCAAGUGUAUGCGUCCUUUAUGACGUAUGUAACAUGGUCCACUAAUUCUCAGCUUCGGUCGGCCUUGG